rnacentral:rRNA from 1 species
UGGUGUGCGAGAAGCGCUGUGGUCCCACCCCGUCCCAUCCCGAACCGGGUCGUGAAACGCAGCAGCGCCGAUGGUACUGGCGGGUUGCCCGCUGGGAGAGUAGGUCCGUGCACCCU